AAAAUUUUCACCUUAUAAAGUUUUUACUUAUUAAAGCUUGGAUGUUGGAGGCUUGCAGGCGUUUGUCAGCUCCUCUUAAAUUUAUUAGUGGGAACCCUGUUUUGUUAGUUCUAACCUUGGUGUGAUAAUUAUCUACAUUUUGGUGGAACCUUACAAUAAUAAAGCUCUAUUGGUUUGGGUUGUUGCAUUUAGUUUGCUCAAUCUGUUCUAUUCAUUGGAGAAAAAGGGAAGUUCUGCUUUCUAACUGUCUUGAUUGACUAUAUAUAACUUAUUU
rnacentral:misc_RNA from 1 species